GGUAUAGUUUAGUUGGUAGAGUGCUUGUCUCUCAAGCACAUGGCCCUGGGUUCAAUCCCCAGCACCA
rnacentral:tRNA from 1 species